UGCGUAAAUGAAACAGUUUAUGAAGGAGUGAAGAAUGUUGCUUUGUCUGCUUUGGGAGGCAUAAAUGCUACUAUAUUUGCAUAUGGCCAAACCAGCAGUGGGAAAACAUACAAGAUGAGAGGAAUAACAGAGAAGGCUGUCAAUGACAUCUACCAGCAUAUAAUAAAUACACCAGAGAGAGAUUUUACCAUUAAAAUUUCGGGACUAGAAAUUUAUAAUGAGAAUGUUAGAGACCUGUUUAAUUCUGAAUCUGGCCG